rnacentral:rRNA from 1 species
GACGAACGCUGGCGGCGUGCCUAAUACAUGCAAGUCGAACGCAUUUUCUUUCACCGUAGCUUGCUACACCGAAAGAAAAUGGGUGGCGAACGGGUGGGUAACACGUCGGUAACCUGCCCAUCAGCGGGGGAUAACACUUGGAAACAGGUGCUAAUACCGCCUAAUUCCAUUUACUGCAUGGUAGGUGGUUGAAAGGGGCUUUUGCGUCCCUGAUGGAUGGACCCGCGGUGCAUUAGCUAGUUGGUGGGGUUACGGGCUACAAAGGCUGCGAUGCAUGGCCGGGCUGGGAGGGUGAUCGGCCACACUGGGACUGAGACAAGGCCCAGACGGCUACGGGAGGCAGCAGUAGGGGAUCUUCGGCAAUGGACGCAAGUCUGACCGAGCAACGCCGCGUGAGUGAAGAAGGGUUUCGGAUCGUAAAAGUCUGUUGUUAGAAAAGAACAAGGAUGAGAGUGGAAAGUUCAUGUCUUGACGGUAUCUAGUCAGAAAGCCACGGCUAACUACGUG